GCGAGAGUGGCGGAACUGGCAGACGCGCUAGAUUUAGGAUCUAGUGCGCUUUGCUCGUGUGGGUUCGAGUCCCUCCUCUCGCA
rnacentral:tRNA from 1 species